AUACGUAGGGUGCGAGCGUUGUCCGGAAUUACUGGGCGUAAAGAGCUCGUAGGUGGUUUGUCGCGUCGUCUGUGAAAUUCCGGGGCUUAACUCCGGGCGUGCAGGCGAUACGGGCAUAACUUGAGUACUGUAGGGGAGACUGGAAUUCCUGGUGUAGCGGUGAAAUGCGCGGAUAUCAGGAGGAACACCGGUGGCGAAGGGGGGUCUCUGGGCAGUAACGGACGCUGAGGAGCGAAAGCAUGGGUAGCGAACAGGAUUAGAUACCCUGGUAGUCCAUGCCGUAAACGGUGGGCGCUAGGUGUAGGGGUCUUCCACGACUUCUGUGCCGUAGCUAACGCAUUAAGCGCCCCGCCUGGGGAGUACGGCCGCAAGGCUAAAACUCAAAUGAAUUGACGGGG
rnacentral:rRNA from 1 species